GCCAGACUCCUACGGGAGGCAGCAGUGGGGAAUAUUGCACAAUGGGCGAAAGCCUGAUGCAGCGACGCCGCGUGAAGGAUGAAGUAUUUCGGUAUGUAAACUUCUAUCAGCAGGGAAGAAAAUGACGGUACCUGACUAAGAAGCCCCGGCUAACUACGUGCCAGCAGCCGCGGUAAUACGUAGGGGGCAAGCGUUAUCCGGAUUUACUGGGUGUAAAGGGAGCGUAGACGGCGAUGCAAGCCAGAUGUGAAAGCCCGGGGCUCAACCCCGGGACUGCUCUUGGAACUGCGUGGCUGGAGUGCAGGAGGGGCAGGCGGAAUUCCUAGUGUAGCGGUGAAAUGCGUAGAUAUUAGGAGGAACACCAGUGGCGAAGGCGGCCUGCUGGACAGUAACUGACGUUGAGGCUCGAAAGCGUGGGGAGCAAACAGGAUUAGAUACCCUGGUAU
rnacentral:rRNA from 1 species